AGUAGAGGCCUCCCUUCUGCGGAGGUGGCGCAGGCUGCUCGGCUACCCGGUGAGGUCCACGCGCAGCCCACCCGGCGCUCGGUUCCCCGGCCGCUGUCUCCCGCUGCAGGCGGCGGCGCCGGGCCUCGGAGGCUUCUAAUGUGAGGAAAAACAUGGAAUGACAAGUGUGGGAAAGAGCAAGCACUAAAUUACUGUCAGAAAAAUAAACGGAGCAGCACAGUGGUGCUCCGUGAUUUACGGGGGCAAUUAGUCACCACCCCACAGCGCUGCUGAGGACGGCCUGGCAGCAGACACAUCAGGCCCACAAGGAGGAAGAGGCUCUGCACUAAGCUCCAGAUGACUUUUCAAACAAGAGCAAGUCCGUGAGCACAUGAGAGUCUGUGUGUUCAUUCUGGGUGUCUACCCUUCACACUCCCCACCAGCUUGAUAAAUAAACAGACUUUUCGUGC
rnacentral:lncRNA from 1 species